UGAACUCCACUUUUUUAUAAGCAAGCUCCCACCCACUUUCUCAUCCACCCGGGGACCUGCCCCAAGCGGGCCCGCGCAGAGGAGCACGGGAAAACGAGUCCCGCGGUGACUCCUAUCCGGAGGCUCUGAGUUGCGAGAACUACAACUCCCACAAGGCGGCGCGCAGCGGGCCCUCCCCGGGAGGUAUUACCCCGCCCCCGGCAGUGGGCCUAGCCCCUCAGGACGGCAGGUUGGAAGUCACGAGAACUGGCGGCCAGCGUGUGUAGGAGUGAAUCCGCUAGUUUGCCAAGCUGAUUGGCAGAAAAAGCAAGCCUGCACCCUCCAAGCUGCACUAUUACACCUGGGAGACGAGCCUCAACCAGAAGUCCCUGAAGAAAUUCUACAAAAGGUUGUUGAUUAAUCAAAGCUGGAGUCAUUUUACAGAGGUAGCACUGUGCAUGUGCAAGACAGGAACCUGUGUCUCCAGGAUGACCUUGGAACCAAGAAUCUUCAGUCUACAGAACUCAAAGAAUAGAAAUGUUGCCACCAGAGCCCUUUACAAAGUGAGAAGUCCUUCAAUAAGGAAAAGCUGGCUUCCAGCAGCAUGAGUAGCUCAUAUGGACUAAUUCAAGACUAACCAAUCACCAUCCAGGCUCCCCAACUCUGGACCAGAUUGCUAGGAACCACCACUAGGUGUCCAAAGCAGAGGACAACCAAGUAGGUGGUCACCUACAUGGAAUGAUUUGAGAAGGUCUUUCUACUCCCAACACCACCCCUACUAGUACCUGCAGCAAUCUUUCCAUCACAAAGUCCUUGAAGGGAAGGACCAUUUCCUAUCCAUCAGUAAAGAGAGCUGGCUCUGCUUCUAACUGGCAGCGUGAUGGAGAACCAGUAACUUCCCCCUUCAGGACUCAGAUUCUUCCUUUGUAGGAUGAGGAGACUGAACAUGAUGACCUUUAAAAUCCUGCCUUGGGCUUCCCUGGUGGCGCAGUGGUUGAGAAUCUGCCUGCUAAUGCAGGGGACACGGGUUCGAGCCCUGGUCUGGGAAGAUCCCACAUGCCACGGAGCGGCUGGGCCCAGGAGCCACAACUACUGAGCCUGCGCGUCUGGAGCCUGUGCCCCGCAACGGGAGGGGCCGCGAUAGUGAAAGGCCCGCGCACCGCGAUGAAGAGCGGUCCCCGCACCGCGAUGAAGAGUGGCCCCCACUUGCCGCAACUAGAGAAAGCCCUCGCAUGAACCGAAGACCCAGCACAGCCAAAAAUAAAUAAAUAAAUAAAAUCCUGCC